AGCGACAAGAUUCACAGGGCAGUGCUCUGAAGAAGCAAGACCUCAGCAGAUGAGGAGACAGAAGAUAAGCAUGCUGCAAGACGGGAUGUUAUGACUGCUGCGGAAGAGUCAAGCACAAGAUGGGAUCCUGAAGCACAGGGUCCGGCAGUCGUGGAU
rnacentral:lncRNA from 1 species